rnacentral:misc_RNA from 1 species
AAGUCGUAACAAGGUUUCCGUAGGUGAACCUGCGGAAGGAUCAUUAACACGUAUCCACGUAUCAACCAUUUGUGAACUUGUUAUCAUCUACCUCAAUUGACAGGGAAUGGAUUGGAAUCAUGCUUCAAAGAGAGUGAACUUCUUCGGAAGUGCUUUGAGCUUGACAUACUUAGGUUUCGGCCUAGACAAUCGUAUUUCUGCCAGAGGCUUAGUCUUGACCGAGAGUCUUCAUCUCUCUCUCUGGUCGAGGCGCUUUUAUAAACUUAUUUCACCCCCUUUUUGCUAGUUGACUUUUAUCUGUGAAUUGUAUGCGAAAGUAUGCAACCACACGUUUAAUUAUUUGAACGUUAAAAAUACAACUCUUAGCAAUGGAUAUCUUGGUUCUC